rnacentral:rRNA from 1 species
CUCUUUUCAGAAUUGAGUGGCAAACGGGUGAGUAACACGUAAACAACCUGCCUUCAGGAUGGGGACAACAGACGGAAACGACUGCUAAUACCGAAUAAGUUCCAAGAGCCGCAUGGCCCAUGGAAGAAAAGGUGGCCUCUACCUGUAAGCUAUCGCCUGAAGAGGGGUUUGCGUCUGAUUAGCUGGUUGGAGGGGUAACGGCCCACCAAGGCGACGAUCAGUAGCCGGUCUGAGAGGAUGAACGGCCACACUGGAACUGAGACACGGUCCAGACUCC